AAUAUACUCCCUCCGUUCGAAAUUACUCGUCCAAGAAAUGAAUGUAUCUAGAUGUAUUUUAUUUGUAGAUACAUCCAUUUUUAUGACAAGUAAUUCUGAACAGAGGGAGUAAGUA
rnacentral:pre_miRNA from 1 species